rnacentral:tRNA from 1 species
AUCUUUUUAAUAUAAAUUAGUAUAUUUGACUUCCAAUCAAAAUGUCCAGUUGUGGGAAAGAUA